rnacentral:lncRNA from 1 species
CAUCAUCAGCUGCAUGUUUUUUUUCUUUUCUUUUCUUUUAAAACUGUGUUUUCUUUGUGCUGCAAAACAGUCUUAAUAUCCAUUCUGCACUCUUCCCUCCCCUUCUUUCUUCUCCCCCCACACCCCUUGCACACAUACUGAAACCUGGGGCCUCUUUGCUGGGCUCUUUGCUGCACUGGGAAAGAGAUCUUUUUUUAAAAAAGUCUCUCUUCUCUCCCUCUCUCUCUUCUCUCUCUCUCUCCCUCUCGUGUGUGUGUGUGUGAUUUAAACCGGAUGCAGGGCAUCUGUGAUAACUUGGGUUAGUAGUUAUUGACAGUGCUUUAUCCUUCAUGUGGAGGUGGGAGGGGUACUGGUGAGGUUCCAUUUCACUUUGAUGAGCCUCCUUCCCCAACAGUGGAGUGUUAACAAUUUUCAUUAUGGUUAUGGGACUUUGUGUGUGACCAUCAGGGAGAGGACAUAAGGAAGCAUUGUGAGAACUCAGUUUACACUGUUAUUUGUGACAGUUACGGUACUUUAAAGAGUUUUUCCUUUUUCUUUUUUUUUUUCUUCAUCUCUGUUCGUUUUCCUUUGAGAGUUGAAAUUGAAGUCAAGUUGUUCAUAAAGAAUGUAUGAAGCUUCCCAACUUGAAACGCAUGUGUGUACUUAACAUAGUCUUUUUUUUGGACAGUGACUUAAACCUGCUGAAAAGAGAGAACUUUUUCCUUUUUAGGUCUUUCCUUCAAAAUUGUUUUUUUUUUUUUUUUUUUCCUCCUAAUGUUUAAUUAUCAGUAAAGAGUUUUGAUAAUAAAUGUGUGCUAAAACAAAUAUAAUGUACUAUUUGUUCAUGUUGAAGUUUGCAAUUUGGAAUUUUUAAAUACUUAUUUAGAUAGUCUUCUUUCUAACAGCGAACACAUAUUGAUUGACCUGACAGAGCAGCCUGUGAAUAAUGUGACAGUAUUAAUUAUUCUUGAGAUGGUAGUACUAUUAAGUCUAAUAUUUUGUAAAAUAAGAGUUGAGGUUUUAAAAAAAAACUUUUACUCUUAAAAAUUCAUUUCCUUUUGAUUGUUCUUUUAAAUGAGAAUGAUAUUUCCUUCUGAAAGAAGUCUUUCUCUGAGCACUCCAGUUCCUUUAUAUUUAUUUCCCCUUCCCCAACCUGGGUUCCAUGCACAUCUCUAAUACUAACCUGUAUUUUUUUUUUCUGUUCAGAUGAGUGUCAAAUGCCUGAACACUUUUGGAUGGUGAAGUUCCUGGGUCCUAUAAACUCUCUGAAGUUAAUAGGAGUUUGCUGUCUUGAGACAGUCUCAGACCUUAUGCCAUUUGCAUAAUACAAUUUUAGUAUAGUAGGUUAUAAUGCUAUAAUUUUAUGGUUUAAUAUUUUUUAUUUGAAAUGUCCAAGAACUUUUUUGAGACAUUUCACUGAUUAUGACUAUCUCAGGUUUCCUAUAAUUUAGAUUUUCAUUACCUGGCCAUUUUAGAGCCAGACUUAAAUUCUAUUACUAUCCAUUUUUAAAAGCACAUAUUUGAUAUAAACGUUGCUGUUAAAGAUGCUUUAGAUUCAAGUGUAUUAACAUUAUUCAUACAGUCUAAGUAAGUAAUUACUGGAAAUACUAACAAAAUAUUAAUUUAAAAAAUUAACAUAAGGGUAAAUACUUAGUAGCACCAAGUUUAUUUUUUCUGUGAUUUUUUUUCCUAGAAGGGACUAUAUUAUGUAUUGGUAUUUCCUUGUGCUUGUUUCUAAAAGACUAAUAUAAAUCUGUGGAAAGUGGCCAAGCUUUACAAUGACAACUAUUAAGUAGGAGUCGCUUGUAAUUUGUUUUGAAUAGUUGAAUAUCUGUGAUUCAUUGUAUGUUUUAAUGCCUAUCUCAAUCUCUUUAGUUUUUGUGCCUAUGAAUUGCAUUAAAUGGAUAGGCAUAGUUGUGUAGUACAUUUACAUGUAUAGGAAUAAACUAAAAUGCAUUCCUAAAAUGCAUCAUUCCACAAUGUUUUUAUUACAUGGCAAUGUUUAUGCCUAAUUUUAAAAAUAAUAUAUUAUUCCUCUAGUAUUCAAAUAGUUUUGUACUCUAAUUAGGUGCUCAAAUGAAAGGUUUAUAGUUUUUAAGUUUCAGAUACUCAAAAGACUUUAUAGUUUAUAAAUUUAAUAUGAUUUAACCCUCAACAGUUUUUUUUUUACCUGAAACAAAUUUAAUGGUAAAAAAUUUUACCAUUAAAAAAUUAGUAAUUAAAGAAUAAAUUGUAAAUCAAGAUAAAUUUAAUCUAUUAUUUAAAUGAUUACAAGUAUUUUGGUAACAUGUCAUUAGUCUUUAGAAAGUUGAUGAUGUGUGUGCUUUCCCCUAUAUACAGUCAACUGAAGAAAUCCGUAGGUGGAGUAUGAUUCCAUGCCUCAGAUUUUACAGUGUCUGUGGGGGUUAAAAGGGUGGAUAUAGCAUCAGGAUAUAGCAAGAGUUAAAAAAACAACAACAACAGAACUUUUCUAAACAGUGUGAUAGGAAUGUUACUUUGUUCUUGGUAUCUCUAGUGAGACUGUGUUACAAAAAAUGAGAAUAUCAGACAAGUAAACUUUUAAACUAUAAAGAAUCUUCAAUGCAAACUUUGAAAUAUGAGAAGUCUGCUGGUUUUUGUUUUUUUUUCCCCGCUUGUUUUGUUUUUAUGCUGAGCAUUAGGUUAGAAAUCCUCUACUUAAUAGUUACUUUAAUAAUAAAAACUUAGUUUCCCUAAUGGAAUCACUGGCCUUUACCUCUUUGGUGUAGAUUCCCAGUGGCUGUUGCAAAACAGAUUUUAAAUUCCUUUCUGUUCACAGGUGCAUAGUGUUCCCAUAUUUUGGAAAUCCAUGAUAAAGUGGAUUUGACUAAAUCUAAUUUUGUUAAGGACAGAUGGCUGCUUUAAACAGGUGUCACUUUCAUCUCUAGUGCAUUGUGUUGGGUCUUCCAGUGGUUCACAAAAAGGCUGUGUAAGCCAGGUGGCAUCCAUUGCUUUAGUCCUUAGCAAAAUAUACUUUUGGUGUCAAUUAUUUUCUUAGGAAGAGUUUUUUUUUUUUUUAAGUAAAGGUUUUGAACUAUUCAAAUUAAGAUUCCUGAUUUAAUAUACCUUUUAUUUUUGAAUAUCAUUCCAUUUUUGAGCAGUAUAGUUGCAGAUUUUUUCAAAAAACACCUCAAAUUCUUAAAAUUAAUAGUAAAUUCUCUUUGAAUCCAGAAAAGGUACUCAGGAACAUUUUACACUAUUAGUCAAAUUUAUCUGAAGCACAAAGCCAAGGCAGAUUCGAAUAAAGUGAAAUUUGGUUAACAUGACAGGUUAACUUUUGCAAUCCUAUAUGUGAUUUUUUUUGGGGGGGUGAGUAUUAUUUUAAUUUGAAUGAUAAAAGCUAGGAACUGGUGUUGUUUUUUUGGCUCAUUAUUUUAAAUAUUUUCAAAUGAAAACAUUUUCCUGACCUACUUCAAUUGUUACUAUAAGGUUUUUAGUGCUCUUUGAAAGUGAAAAUUGUUUUUAAGUAUUAAUGUUUAAAAAUGUGUAUUGGAGUAAAUAAAAGAGUGUUAAUCUAUUGAUUUCUAAGGUUCAUUUUUACUCUGAUUCUAUCCUUUUUUUGGUGGGAAUUUUAUACGUGUUACAACAAAUGCACCAGAGGGUGCUGUGCUGUUUGCAACAUGAGAUUAUUAUCACUAAGAAUGUGAACUGAUUAGAAAUUUAUUUAAAGAAAAAUAUUUAAUUACAUAUGCAUUCAAGCAUAUAAUGACUUUAAUGUCUGUGGAGUUUAAAUUUAAUAUACUGUCUUAAUUGGCAGUUUUAUAUCAAAGUCUAUCUCUGCUAAUAUAUAUUAGCACAGCAUGAAACAAUAUCAAGAUUGAUAUCUUUGGCAUAAUCUGAGUAUCAUCAUUCGUUCUGUAGGCAUAUACAUUUAUCAUCUUCUUAUGCAGGUAUUUUAAUCCAUAUCUAAAAAAUUUAGUUUAACUUAGAAUCAUAAUAUUUUGGCCAUAAGGCUUUGUACUCUGCAAAUUUGAUAUUGUUCUGCAUAUCAAUAUAUUGUAUAUCCUUAUAACAUUUCUGUGUGGCAUAAUUAGUGAUACAAUUUUUAUGGUGUAAUCUAAAACAGCCAUCUCCAAAGUAUAAAUGAUAAUAAUAGUUAUUAGAUUAAUUAAGUCAACAACAACAAUAAUACAAAUUGUCUGGGGAAUUCAGUCCCCGCUUCACACCAUUUGAAUAGUCUGGUUUGAGUAUUUAACUUGGCUUUAUUAUUUAAAGUUUUAGAAUCUUUAUUCUUUGCCUUAAUGCUUUGAAACUAGAAGUGAUCAUAUAUUGCUUUCUGUAUCUGAAUAUUUGUUCAGUGAGAGUUUUUUUAUUUUUUUAGGAGAAUUCAGUCUUUUGGUCUCUUCUUUGAUCAUUGACUUCCCAUCAUCAGCAGUGCAUGUAUGCUCUAAAAGGCAGAUACUGAAGCAGUGGUAGUAUCUUCCUCAAAUAAGCUUAAAAAGAUACAGUUAUAUCAAAUGAACUUUUUUCUCCAGAUAAUGGAUUUAUGUGUACUAUUAUCCAUAUUUAACUACAAUCAGUAAAAUAUGAUAUUUUUAAAAAGUACCCUUAUAAGACAUAGUAUAUCAUGUGUUGGAAUGCCUCAAAGAAUCUAAUACAUUAGUAGAGAAUAACAAUAUUUUAAAAUACUAGUCUUGUUAAAAUAGGUUAAGUAUUUGUCUUCAAAAAUGUAGUCCUACCAUUUUGUUAACAUUAACCAAUUACUUUAUGCCACUAAGAUUUUAAAGUAUGUGACAUUGUUUCAAAACCUUUAUUUGAAGUUUUAUAUUUCAUAUCAAACUCCAGAUGUAUUUAAUGAAUAUGAAUCAGUGUAAAAAUUGGAGUGUAUUUAGAGUAUCAAAUAGGUAUAUGUUUUGUUUUUUAAAUAGGUUGAGGAUAAGUAUAUUGGUUAAAAACACAGGUUUUAUACUAAGAUUUCAGAUAAUAUUAUGAGCUAUGGGACCUUGGACAAGUUAUUUAGCUUCAUUUAGCCUCAGUUUUCUCAUCUGAAAAAAUAAGAUCUGUCUUACCUGCCUUAUGGAAUUUUGUGAAGAAUAAAGGAGCUAAUUUAUGUAAAGUACUUUGCUUAGUACAUAACACAGAAUAAAUGCUCAAUACAUGUUGGCUCUUAGGGAAUACCAAGAAGAUACCUACUCUAACCUUUUUGUAAUUUAAGAAUCCAUUUACUCUGCUUCUGACCAUAUUCUCUCCAGUGGGUUCUAAGUUUUGAAAGAAGACCUUACCUAGUAAUCAACACUAAUUAAGUAAUUAUUCCCUCCUUCCCCCUUUUAAAAAUAAACCAAAGACUCAAAGCUAGCAACUACAGGUUUGGAUAACUAUUUGAUAACCUGUCUUGUUAUUUCACUGAAUUAAUAAGACACUGGUACAAAGUUAUGUUUUAGUUUUACUCUUCAGCCUUAUUAUAAUGGAUUCCUUUUGCAUUUGUAUAACUCUCUUGGGCUGGGGAUCUUAGACUGAGAAUUAAUGAUGUAACGUUUCAUAAACUCUUACACUUCCCACUGUCCAUUUCACUGUCCAGUUUAUAUUUUCCUUUUCAUAGUUGUUGUACAUGAACUCAUUUGAAAACAAUUUGUGCCCAACUUAGAAACUUUAUAUAAAAUGUAGUCAUCAAUAUAUAAUAGUGACAAUAAAUAGUUGUACAAAGAUGAGUUCAUGAAGGAAUUAUUUGAACUUAUAAUGCAUUGCUUAGAAUUGUUAUUUGCCUAACAGUAGAAAAAUGUGUAAGGUCACCAUUUGUAUAUCUCUAGCAAUAAGUAACUUUAGAAAAAUUUGCCAGCCGCAGUCUUGAGGUAUAAAGUAUCCUUGGAACAUCUCAGUAAAACAUAAUACGAAAUAAUAGAGGAAAAAUACCACCUUUGGCUUCCUUUGUUAGGGUAUUAAAGAUGUUGAAAGAAUCAUUUUGGUUGGCUGCCACAUGUAAGGUUACUAUUCAGUAAUUUGUUAUAUUUUUAUUUUCUAAGCAUUU